rnacentral:rRNA from 1 species
CCAUGCCGUAAACGAUGAUUACUAGGUGUGGGGGGUCUGACCCCCUCCGUGCCGGAGUUAACACAAUAAGUAAUCCACCUGGGGAGUACGGCCGCAAGGUUGAAACUCAAAGGAAUUGACGGGGGCCCGCACAAGCAGUGGAGUAUGUGGUUUAAUUCGAAGCAACGCGAAGAACCUUACCAGGUCUUGACAUCCAACUAACGAAGCAGAGAUGCAUUAGGUGCCCUUCGGGGAAAGUUGAGACAGGUGGUGCAUGGUUGU